CCUACGGGAGGCAGCAGUGAGGAAUAUUGGUCAAUGGACGAGAGUCUGAACCAGCCAAGUAGCGUGAAGGAUGACUGCCCUAUGGGUUGUAAACUUCUUUUAUAAAGGAAUAAAACGAGGCACGUGUGCCUUUUUGCAUGUACUUUAUGAAUAAGGAUCGGCUAACUCCGUGCCAGCAGCCGCGGUAAUACGGAGGAUCCGAGCGUUAUCCGGAUUUAUUGGGUUUAAAGGGAGCGUAGAUGGGUUGUUAAGUCAGUUGUGAAAGUUUGCGGCUCAACCGUACAAUUGCAAUUGAUACUGGCAGUCGUGAGUACAGUUGAGGUAGGCGGAAUUCGUGGUGUAGCGGUGAAAUGCUUAGAUAUCACGAAGAACCCCGAUUGCGAAGGCAGCUUACUAAACUGUGACUGACAUUGAUGCUCGAAAGUGUGGGUAUCAAACAGGAUUAGAUACCCCAGAAGUC
rnacentral:rRNA from 1 species